CCUACGGGUGGCUGCAGUGAGGAAUAUUGGUCAAUGGCCGUAAGCCUGAUCCAGCGAAGUCGCGUGAAUGAAGAAGGAUCUAUGUUUUGUAAGCUCCUUUUGUAGGGGAAUAAAUGUAUCCACGUGUUUAUAUUUCCAUGUACCCUAUCAUUCAGCAUCGGCUAGCUACGCGCCAGCAGCAGGGGUAAUACGGAGGAUGCGAGCGUUAUCCGGAUUUAGUGGGUUUAAAGGGUACGUAGAUGGGUCGUCAAGUCAGUUGUGAAGGUUUGCGGCUCAACCGUGAAAGUGCAAUUGAUACUGUCAGCCUGGAGUACAGUAGAGGUAGGCGGAAUUCGUGGUGUAGCGGUGAAAUGCGUAGAUAUCACGAAGAACACUGGUUGCGAAGGCAGCUUACUAAACUGCCACUGACAUUGAGGCUCGAAAGUGUGGGUAUCAAACAGGAUUAGAUACCCUUGUAGUC
rnacentral:rRNA from 1 species